CCACAUUGUUAAGGUUAGUUCAGUUCUUCAUCAUUGCGUGAACUCCCUUUUGAGCUACGUUUACUGCAAGUGAGAACCUUACAUUAGAGGCCUUUCCCACAUUAACAUUGCUGAGAUCAUGAAGCUGUCAAUUCGUGUUGCUUAAAGCUCAGGUAUUAUAGGCUCAGUCGGUACUUGAAAUAGAUAUCUUUCAUAUUUAACAGCUUUCCUAAACUAACUUUUCCUUCUUUUCUUUGCAUGGACCCACAUCUUUCUCACUGAAAAUCACUACAUAAUCACUUUAUUUCUUACCUCCACGCCAUCAUCUUCUAAUCAAAACUCAACUGUCAUGCUACCAUCACAGAUGUUUAUGGCUACUUGUGUUUUACAGCUAGUAUUUCCUACCUGUGUGUUUAAGAUGAAACCUUCAUUAUUGAAAUCGGGAAAAAAUAUCUUAAAAUGUCUAGACAAAAAAGACUUUCAACAUUAAAAAUCAAGGAUAUUUCUAUUUUUUUUCUUUAAGUCAAUGUUAAUUUUAAUAUGGUGAACUGAUUUGAGUACCUUUUCUCACUUUAUGUUAUCCUUAUGCAACGAACUUUAACAUCCAAACAGAAAUACUCCUUUAUUAGCAACAGAUACAUUGACUGUUUGGAUGUAUCUAAAGCCUUUUCAAUAAUUAGUUAAUUUUAACAGUAGCACAAGCAGCAGCCUCAUGCUGCCCCAGGAACCAUAGAUACGGGAAAACAACUGAUAUUUCAACUGGGCCCACCCAAGCUGUGCAAGCCUGACAGCUGUGUAGCUACACGUCUAAACCAACACAGAAUCCCUGCCAGUGUUCUGAUCACAAUUGAAAGACAUACCAUACCCAGGCUCUGCUGGGUAGUGAUAAUGGAGCAAUUCUGGCCUAGCCUGCGUUCACUUAAGCUCCCAGCAGCACUUUCCAGCCUGUAUCAAAUUCCACAUUGCCAGGCAUUUUGCUCCACAGCUUGGAAGUUGACAGUUUUAUCUCAAAUAUUCUCUUGAAAAGCACUGCAGAAC
rnacentral:lncRNA from 1 species